rnacentral:rRNA from 2 species
AAACUUUCAGCAAUGGAUCUCUUGGCUCUCGCAUCGAUGAAGAACGCAGCGAAACGCGAAAUGUAAUGUGAAUUGCAGAAUUCAGUGAAUCAUCGAAUCUUUGAACGCACCUUGCGCUCCAGGGUCAUUCCUUGGAGCAUGCUUGUUUGAGUGUCUAGU